rnacentral:lncRNA from 1 species
CCAGCCCUUUCCUCUUUUGGAGCCUAUAAAUAGGGCUGUCAUUGUCAUUCUUUACCACUUUUGGAAAGCUCUGACCGACCAGCUCGUGCUCCCCUUCUUUUCUCAGAUUUCUUCCGAUUCCGGACAAUUACUUGCAUGGAUUACGGUGGUAAUCAUGUAUUGCGAACCGUCUCGGACGGUCAACCCACAGUCAUUGGUGUUUAAGAUGUUUGCUUGCUAGGAAAGCGAGGCUAGAAUAAAGCUCUAGAGGCCCCCAACAAAUAGUUGUCUGUCAGGAAAGAGCGACUAGAGCAUAGUUGUCUGUAGAUCUUGUCAGGCUGGGUCUUUAGGAGCAAUUGAACAAUAUUUAUGUUUAUUUAAAUCUGAGUUGUCGGAACAGAAUAUUUGGCUAGUUGUUAUCUGUAAUAAUUUGUUUUAUUAUUUG